AGUGAACGCUGGCGGUAGGCCUAACACAUGCAAGUCGAACGGCAGCACAGUAAGAGCUUGCUCUUACGGGUGGCGAGUGGCGGACGGGUGAGGAAUACAUCGGAAUCUACUUUUUCGUGGGGGCUAACGUAGGGAAACUUACGCUAAUACCGCAUACGACCUACGGGUGAAAGCAGGGGAUCUUCGGACCUUGCGCGAUUGAAUGAGCCGAUGUCGGAUUAGCUAGUUGGCGGGGUAAAGGCCCACCAAGGCGACGAUCCGUAGCUGGUCUGAGAGGAUGAUUCGCCACACUGGAACUGAGACACGGUCCAGACUCCUACGGGAGGCAGCAGUGGGGAAUAUUGGACAAUGGGCGCAAGCCUGAUCCAGCCAUACCGCGUGGGUGAAGAAGGCCUUCGGGUUGUAAAGCGCUUUUGUUGGGAAAGAAAAGCAGCAGGUUAAUACCCCGCUGUUCUGACGGUACCCAAAGAAUAAGCACCGGCUAACUUCGUG
rnacentral:rRNA from 1 species